AGCGGGGUCGUCUCUUUUGGAUGGUCACGGAAAGUGAGUGUGCGGAAUAUUGUGCGUUCCUUUCUUCGGUCCGGUGUGUCGCGUAGAAAUUCGCGGUUCGCCAUUGGCACAGGUGUGUGGCACGGUAACAGAAUUUGCUUCGAGUUUGCAAAUUUCGUUGCAUCGUGGCGUGCUGUUAGCAAACGUUUCCGAGCGUCCAGCUAUCCGAGUUAAGGUCCGUGCUCCUAAUCAAAGAAAGAGCGAAAGUGUCAAUUUUGCGGUGCAGUGAAUAAUUCUUGAAAUAAUCAUCAGUACGCCAAACCUGCGAAAAAUCGAACAGAAAGUGCUGUGUGGAUACCUCGUCGGCGUCUCAGGACUCAUACGCCCGGAACAAAGGUCUCCAAAGUGUGUGUUGUGCGUGUGUGUGCGCUCACGCAGGCUGGAGACAUCGUUCGAUCACCGGCGACCUUUGAGUGUGAAAGCAUUAGCGAAAAGUUAAGGUGCUUUUGAUCCAGCGAUAGGAAGGCAUAAAGAUGAGUUGUCCAAUGCCGGAAAUUGGUUCUUGCAUCUCGCUGAUAUCGAAAGCCGAUAUCCGCUAUGAGGGGUUCCUGUUCACCGUCGAUCCGGAGCGCUGUACGAUCGCCCUUGCCCGAGUGAAAUCGUACGGCACGGAGGAUCGCGAAACGCAAUUCCCUAUUGCGCCGCAGAACCAAUACUAUGACUACAUAUUGUUCCGCGGGACGGACAUCAAGGAUAUACGGGUGAUCAACAACAACCCGGUGCCGAAUGAUCCGGCCAUCAUGCAGAUGCAUCUACCGCCGCAACCGCCGCAGAUGGCGAUGCCGAGUAAGCUUGGUCAACCGGCUUACCAGUCGCAGCCCGGGUUCAUGAUGCCGCAGAUGGGCGGACCUCAGGCCAGCGGCCCACCCGGUGGUCCGAUGCCACCUAUGGGUGGUCCUCCGCCUCCGGGUCACGGACAGCAGCCCCAGAUGGGUGGAGGUGGAGCCGCGGUCCCAUCGUACAACGCUGGCUUCGGUGGAAUGAAUAAUCUCGGAGGAGGAAGCGGUUCGCGAUCGGGAACGCCGAGCAACAUGUUGUCGCGCAAGAGUCCUACGGUGGACAUUGCUGUGCAAACGAAUCAGCAGCAGCAACAACAGCAGCAGCAACAUCAUCAGGGUCAGCAGCAGCCCCAGCAGCAGCAGAUGAUGCAGCAGAUCAACCGUGACGGUGGCAACAAUAACCAACGCAACAAGAACAACAACCAUCGAGGAUCCCACCCGAAUAACAACCAGCGAGAGAGACGCGAUUCCGGCAAGCAGCAGCAACAGCAGCAGCAACAAACACCGCAGCAAAUUGCUGACAACCAGAUUAAGGAAAACUAUAACAAUAAUAAGGCAAGAGUUCAGCAGCAGCAGCAAGGAGGAGCCGGUGGGCAGAACCGAGGUGGAUGGAACAAUAAUCGCAAUCACCAGAACAACCACAACAAUGGAGGAAACAACAUUCGCGGUAGACCGCGUGGUGGUAACAUUGGCCAACCGCAGCAGCAGCAGCAGGGAACCACUGGCGGUGCUGGUGGACAGCGUGCGAAGAAUUUGCUAAAGUUUGAUAACGAUUACGAUUUCGAGCAGGCUAACAGCAAGUUCGAAGAGCUUCGAUCGCAACUGUCUAAACUUAAGGUGGGCGAAGAAGUGAAACCAGAGCAGAUCACUGAAACGCUGGACAAGAAGGAUGAUUCGGGCAACGAGACUGGUGCCGGCGAACACGAGCAGGAAGAAGAAGAAGUCAUCUGUUACGAUAAGGCCAAAUCCUUCUUCGAUACCAUCUCGUGCGAAGCGGUUGAACGCGCUAAGGGCAAGCAGCAGCGUACGGAUUGGCGUCAGGAGCGUAAGCUAAACACCGAAACGUUCGGCGUUGGAUCGACCAGACGUGGCGGGUACAACCGACGAGGCGGUUACUUCAACCGUGGUCCCAACAAUUACCACCGUGGGGGCAACAAUUAUCGCGGCGGCAGCAACAACUAUCGGGGCCGCAGUGGAAACCGCAACAAUCAGUUGAACGGUGGCGGUAUGUCCCAUAACCGAUCUGGUGGCCAGCAGCAGCAGGGCGGUACUACCGGCCAGAACAACCAGAACGCUGGCGGUCAGCAGCAACAGAACCAAGCAACGCCGGCUGCCCCUUCUAACCAGGAACAGCAGCAACCGGCCGUCAUAGAAGUGGCAGCAGGCAAAUAAUGCUACAAAAAACGGAACACCACGGAGAAACUCUUACUUUUAGAAAGCUGACUAGUUUCGUUCGGAAAAUUGGCUGAAAAAAGCAGGAGCAAAACAAAAUGAACUCAGAUUAAGUCGUCAAACAAAUGAAUUGAAGUUGAGUCGAAGUUUGUAGAAGAGAAUUUCCGUAUAGCGUUACAGUAACGGAAAACAGAAUACAUCCACUUCCACACAAAUGCAAACCACACACCAUACCAGAAGAGAGCAGUACCAAGUUCUAGACAAAAGAAACUCACAACCAUUGUCACCAAUCUUUAAAAACAAACGCGCACGGCAUAUGUGACAAAGCAGUAAUGAAAUUAACAACGAUAAGUCAUCUACAGAACAUUAUAAGUAGUGUAUCGCAGGAGUAUGCACGUGUGUUUGUGUGUGUGCGUGCUGUGCUGUACUGGAUUUGUAAAACACGAAGUGCAAGUAGCGUUGCGCUACAAAUGAAGCUGUGGAGAACAAAAUAAGAGACAUUGUGUUGAAGGAAAACUGCAAACAUGGCGGCAAAACAUGUGUGCGCGCUUCUCUGUUAUAAAAAGAAGUAGCAGAAUACUGGCAGGCAAACGCAGAAUACUGGCAGGCAAACGAAACUGGCAGAAACGAUAAUGAUGCACGCCGAUGUGUUGGCGGACACUGCUGAUUAUAGACCUUCCAGUUUUUUCAUUGACGCAGCAAACAACCUCCCUGUGCGAAAAAUUGUUGAUAUGAAGGUUAUGGAAGCGAAUGUAGAAAACACGGUGCUAGCUGCUACACAAAUUUAAAUGCGGGAAAGAACAUAGUCAUUAUCUCUAAUCAUCCGUACUGAAAAGGAAGAGAUGUACCAAUGCAAUGCGAUGGUACUUUUGUAGCAAGAUGAAGAAACUGAUUUGGUUCAGCAAUUGACGAUAAAGCUACUAUGAUCGGAUGAUGAUGCUCGGACCACAGAACAUAGGAGUCGAUAGUAAAUGUCGCUUAACGUGUUUACCUCCAGUAUAAUGUUCGCCGUGAUAAUCCUUCAACAAAAUCAGCAGCCAUUGAUGUUCUGUGUUUUUGUCGUUGAUCCUCGUGCUGGGAACAGAGGAGGCAACAAACCAGAAAACAACGCUAAAUGGUGUCAAAACGGAAUCGGAUGGAUAACAGAUAAGGACUGUUUAUUGAUUGGCUGAAGCAAAAAAUGUGUGUAUACGGUGGAAAUUCUCCUCACCUUCUAUUUCCAUAAACAGUGUAACAAGUUAGCAGGUGGUCCAAAGAACACUUUAUGACAGCAGCUAACAAAAAGAAGGCAAAUCACGAAAUAGAGACGAAAAAUAGAGACCUGAUAAAGAAAGCCGGCGCAAUGGUUCUUACGGAACCUACCCACCACACAGCGCACAUUUGUUGUGAAAGUGCAUCUUGUCAUUGCCAUCGCCAACUCAUCUCAUCGCAUUCCACCCGUUCGUGUGGGAGCCAUUGUUUACCUGUCCAGCCUGUGUCCUAAUCAGACGCGUAUCAUCAUCAUCGGAAAGUUAGUUUUAAUUGUGUUAGAAUUAAAUAUUCCGCGAAAGAAGCGGCAGUUACAGGCGAGAAAGAUAGUAGUGGAUGAAUAUCAAAAAGGAUCCGGAGGGAAUAUAGUUCCACCGAUGGUUCGCUUAGUUGUGUCUAAUGAGUCAAAAAGUCCAGCAUCUUAAAUCCUCCUAAAAACGGCGUUAGUAGAAAAAUAUGCGCAUGCCUUCCAAAACGACAAGCAUCAUUUGGUUCCAGCAGCUCUAAUGGGCCUGAUAGGGAACGAUUGUAUACAGUGUGGAACUGGAUAGAAGACAGGGAAUCCGUCGUAAAGAAAACAAAACCCAUCUUUCAAGAAAGAUAAUAAUGCAGAAUGAGAGAGAGAGAGUGUGUCGCAGCGCAGUUCCAAAAGUUACACAUUCGUGUAGAUGUGUGCCGUGUAAAAGCGUGCCGGACGAUCAAACCGUCCCAUCCGUCCGAAUCCGUGAGCAGUAAAGAGGGCAUGAUUUAUCGAAUCGGUUAUUUACGGCUCACACCUAUUUUAUCUAAAGCAAUUUAAAGGAAACCCGCCUUUGCAUUGCUUUUUUGUUUGGCUUGUCAUUUUGGCUCUCGACGGUAAACUCGGUUAAGAAGGGUCGGGACAACAGAUGGUAGGACCGAUGUGGUUGGUUUGGCUUCUGACGUGAAGGAAUUACUAACCAACGUUGGCUAAAUUUACUUUCUCACGCCAACUAUUUGUACUUUAAAUUUUGUUUUUGAAAAUUUGAUUGCAGGGCGAAUCAUUGUAAUCUUUAAUCCUGUUCUAUCUUUAUAGUUUAUACCAUUGCUAGUUUUAUUUUUUCUUAUUUUGAUUUUGCUUCAAAGUGUAUUAUUUCAUUUCAUUUAAGUUUCUCUUUUCGUCUUUUGUGUCUCCAGAUAUUAAAUUAUGACUGGUGGGCUUGAUUGAUGGCAAGAUUUAUACUAAAAUUACUACUGUACACUCGUAAUCCCUUUCCUCUGUUUUUCUAUUCCUUGGCCCUGCUCCAAAUGUGUAUCCUCGAACGAGUUAUUUAUGAGAGAUGAAUAUUGACCUCCGCCACGAUUUUUUAAAGCAUAUGAGCGGCUCAGCGAAUACGUUCUCUAAGUGCAGGAGCGGUUAACGGAGUAUUUAGUAAACUAGAAUACACAACGGUUCCUUUGGACACAACUGCACGGAACAAAACUGUCCCGCUCAUUCGGUCGAUCGUGUUGUGGUGUGUGAUUUUAUCUGUGUACAAUACAGAAAAUGCUAGAGCAAAGUGUACAACCGUAAUCUCACAUAAACAAAUUUGGAUCAUAUAAGAGGAAAAAAUGAUAGCAGAGAGGGAACCAAACGAUAAAAUUAUUCGCUUUUGGAGCCAUGCAUAGUAGUACUAAACAAUGCUAUCUGAUGGUAACCGGCAGAGACAGAGACACGAAUACGCAGAAGCCAAGAGAAUAGGGCCACGGUGGGGACAAUAGAAAAUCGUUUGUUAAAGUUUAGUUUAGUGUUCAAAACCACCCAGAACUUCCCUCGCUUACAUGGGGUCAAUCUUUCAAUCUGUGUUUCUUUCAAUGCAGGAAGUGGUAGUGAAAAUUUAAAAGCAUAACAGAAGCAAGGCAUAAAUAAGAGGCAAGAGCGAAAAACACACAGACAAACACACACUAGAAUCAGUAGACUAAUAGUGAAAAACGUGUAGGUACUGGGAAUGUAAAGAGGUGAAAGAAGCCACCCGGCUCAAAAUGUAAUGGGAAUCUAAUUACUAAGUUUCGGAAUAAUUAUAUUUAAAUUGCAAAACAUUGAGAAUGAGCUGGAAAUAUAGAAAAGCAGUAAACAAAAAACAAAAAACUGAAAGGAAACAAAUGUUGGUCAUCGGAAUUGGUCUUACGAAUGGUAAAAGUAUCCUGACGGAAUGAAGCUCGUAUGGAUGGCGCGUGGGAGGGUAGAAUUCUACGUUCGUUAGUUUUUUUUAUCUAUUUCUUCCGAUUUGAAUAAAUGUUUUAAUGAUGGUGUGUUCAAUUUGGAAAUGAAAUCGAUGGCGAUCGAAAUAGCACAUGCGCCACGUAACGGCCUAGUUACCGGAUCUGGCAAAGGAAGACCCACCGGCCGUCCGAUAAGGAGCACCAAAGGAGCAAAGCAAACCAUCGAAAUACAACGUAUUUGUGUUAUGUGCGGUUACUAUAAAAAAAACUACAACUUUAUAGAGGGGAGCACCGGGUAGUAAUUUCGAUUUCCAUGCUCGUUGCAAACAAAUUUUAACUUUACUCACUAUACUAAUCUGUAGUAGAAAGCUGCAGAUGAAGUAUAUUUGUCGGAAACUUCGAAUGGUUUCGUACAAACAUAGGACUAAAUUCACCUGAGCAGAGCAACAGAUAAACGUGGAUGGUGAUCUAAGAAGAAUGGUCGAUGGUAAUUAUGGAUGGAAAAACAGGAAAUGUCAUAACAAUAAUAAAAAGCAAGACCCGGCUAAUAAUAAAAAAAAUAAUGUAUCCAUCUCAACAUUCAGAACACUAUGUUUAAAGAAAAUUCCUGAUUUGUUGACUAAGUUCUGAGGGACUGAUACAAUGCAAUGGCACAAAAGAAACCUUCCUGAAGAGAGAUACAUUAUUGGAAUUGAGGAGACAAAAUAAGAAAAAGCUCGUAAAUUAUUUCAUACGUUUUGAGUUUGGGCAAAUAACCAAACUAUUUGGCCUUUCAAAUGUAUAUGACCAGGAGUGCGCAUACCUGGCAGAUCUUUAUGCAGAUCCACCAACAAAAAAUGUGAAUGAUGUCAAUGAUGUACCCCCAACAACUGGAACAAGUAUCUUUGGCAAGCCUCGCUUGACGGGAGUGACUAGUAUCGAAAUGCCCCGAACAUUUUUUAAGUAAUAAGAAAG